rnacentral:lncRNA from 1 species
UUUUUUUCUUUUUUGUUACGGAGGUAGUAGCUGGUAACAUAUUCCGCUAACGCCCGAACGUUCGGGAUUUGAUCAUGGCAAAUCGAAUGUUUUCAAUGGCAAUUUUCGUGACGCGAGGAUGAAAAGUUUAGUUGGCAAGCAUGACAAAAUCAUGUGUAGUGUAUUUUUUUGUCUGGGAAUUGUCGUGUGUGUCAACUAAACUUGUCAACCUGGUGUCACUAAAAUUGCCAAGAAACGGUAAUUUUCAGUUAUUUGGGUCCGGCCCAAUUAGGUGUAAGGAACCCGGUUUUACGAACCUUCUAGACUUUUCCUUUACGGCCCAAUUUGGUCUUUUUAGUUUUUUUUACCUGUUAUAUUUACAAGUUCGUAAGGUUUUCUAACUUUUAUUUUUUCUUCUUUUUCCUGUAUUUUUUCAGUUUACUUUUUUUAAAGAUGUUCACAAAAAUCAAAAUUGUUCACAUUUUUAUUAAAUAUCAAAAGUUCCAAAAAUGUUCAGAUUUUAUAAAAACAUCUUCAAAAAGUUAAAAAUGAUAUUGUUUUUGAAAAAUGUUCUCAUACUUUCAAAAAUUAUUUUUCAGAAAUGUUCUCAAAAAUUUUAAAAAUGUUCCUGAUUUGUUUGCACUAUUUCAAAAAUGUACGCAUUUCCAAAAUAAUGUUCUCAAAAUUUUCAAAAAUGUUCGCCAUUUUCAGAAAAAUAUGAAUUCAAAAAUAUUCACAUUCCUACAAAAUGUUCAAUAAAUUGCAUUUAUUUUUUCAUAUAUUCCAAAAAUGAUCUCAAAAUUUCAAAAAAAAAUCUGCCUUCCAAAAAAUGUUCAUUUUUUAAUAAAUGUUUUCCUGUGUUUUUUGAAUAAAAAGGAUAGAAAAAAGAUGGAAAACGUAAAACCCACUAGGAAAAUAUCACUAUGGUGUUGAAGCCGCAACAAUACCUAGUCUACCUAAUUGCUGUACUCGACCUUCUCGCUGCAUCGGGAGCGCUAAAUGGGUCGGCCUGCUCGCUCGCUACCAUUGUGAAAGGUCGACCAUUUGACGCAGUUAGCGUCAAAUAGGACCUCUUGAGAUGCAAUUCUAGCCGAUGAAGUUGAUGUAAUUUUUUGGGGAAAACAUACUCCACUUUAUUGAUUAAUAAUGAAGCCUAUAGGAAUAACGAGAUAACAUGCAAGUUUAUAAACCAUAUAUGACCGCCCUUAUAAACGAACGAGCAAGAUUCAAACUCCUUCGACGUUUCAUUUAUCUCUUUGACCAUUGUACUAAUUACUCCUAGAGUACCUUUGUUGUUAUUAGGGACUACCAUUUUGCAGCCUGAUGCAACCUUUAAGCAUUGAAUGAGUAGAUGUUUAGCAAGGAAAAGAGCUUUGCAGCACGCAAGCGCUUCCAGCGUACCAAGUUCUGUCAGAUCAAGGAAAACAAGUGCAGGGGAACCAAGAAGUAAACCUGCAUCAUCAUGACAAACCGCACUAACAACACCUCUUUGAUCAUCGUUACUCAUAGAUCCAUCAACAUUCACCUUGAUAAAUCCUUGAGGAGGAGGAAUCCAAGAUGCAUCCCUGCUUGCGUCUACUGUGUUGUUGGUUGUGACACAUCAAGAGCCGACAAAAAUAUGGAUAUAGAAAUAUGAGUGGCCAGAGGAAUCUGGUGUUUGUCUUCAUGUAUCAGUUACGACGUGAAGACCGUAUCGCCCAGAGUGCAAUGGCUAGCUUGGUAAACUCCACAUGUGAUGAAGAAUCAAUCAUGGAGAAGAUCCAACUUCUCGCAUCAGGCUCCAUCAUUGCAAGAAUAUGCUCCAGCAAUUUCUGACUGGACAACACCCAUACACAUCAAGCCACAUAGAAUUAGAAAAUGCAUCCACGAGUCCUCGGCUCUGCAACUCGCGCGACAUGAGAGGAUACCAUAUUUCUGUCAUUCAAUAUAUCGGUCAUGGGGAACGAGCAUUGGGAAAGCCUCCACAGGAAGGCCUUCUGUCGGUGUCAAAACCGGCGGAUCUCGGGUAGGGGGUUCCGAACUAUGCAUCUAAGGCGAAUGGUAAUAGGAGGCAGAGGACACGAUAUUUACCCAGGUUCGGGCCCUCUCGCUGGAGGUAAUACCCUACUUCCUACUUGAUUGAUCUUGAUAAUAUGCGUAUUACAAGAGUUGAUCUACCACGAGAUCGUAGAGGCUAAAUCCUAAAAGCUAGCCUAUGGUAUGAUUGUAUAUUGUCCUACGGACUAAACCCUCCGGUUUAUAUAGACACCGGAGGGGGCUAGGGUUACACAGAGUCGGUUACAAGGAAGAAGAUCUACAUAUCCGUAUUGCCAAGCCUGCCUUCCACGCCAAGGAGAGUCCCAUCCGGACACGGGACGAAGUCUUCAAUCUUGUAUCUUCAUAGUCCAACAGUCCGGCCAAAGGAUAUAGUCCGGCUGUCUGGAGACCCCCUAAUUCAGGACUCCCUCAGUAGCCCCUGAACCAGACUUCAAUGACGAUAAGUCCGGCGCGCGGAUUUGUCUUCGGCAUUGCAAGGCGGGUUCUUCCUCCGAAUACUCCAUAGAAGAUUUUGAACACAAGGAUAGUGUCCGGCUAUGCAAAACAAGUUCCACAUACCACCAUAGAGAGAAUAAUAUUUCCAUAAAUCUAAUCUGCUGACACGUUUAGCAACAUGACAUCAUGCCAUGGCCCGGUCAUUAUUCGAACCGUUUUUCUCAACCAGCACUGCACAUAUCGCGAGGCGGUUUUCUUGACACAUCUUGUCGAAGCAGAGAUCGUGUCCCCCUUAUUACGGGAUUCUCAUCAAUACGGACGUGGGUAACCCAAUCGUGCCCGUUGGUAUGACUCCUUGAUUUUAGGCAAGUCCCAAACGGCCACGAGGAGGACGCUUGAUAUUCACCCUCUUUAUAAAGAGGCCAAGGCCUGUCCUUUUUUUCCCUCUCGUACUCAAUCGAAUCCUUCCCCCACCUCGAGUUCCAACACCCAAGGCUCAGGUCAGGCGCUUCGGACCUUCAACCAUGUCCGGAUCCAACCUUCAAGGUCGGUGGAUGCCUUCCUCUGUAACAGAGGAAGACAUCAAGAAGCUAAGAGAGGCCAGGUAUUUGACCUUCGAAAUCUCGCACAGGCUGCCUGCUCGAGGGCAGGUCAUUCCCACUCUCGAACCCGGCGAGAGCGUUGUACUCAUCUCUCACUUCCUUCGAGGGCUAGGUCUCGCUCUGGAUCCCUUUGUUAGGGGGCUCAUGUUCUAUUAUGGGCUGGAUUUCCAUGACCUGGCCCCAGAUUCCCUCCUUCACAUCUCAUCGUUCAUCGUCGUGUGUGAGGCCUUCCUCCGCAUUACCCCACACUUCGGCAUGUGGCUCAAGACUUUCAAUGUGAAGCGGAAGAUGAUCGAGGGGCGACACGCAGAGUGCGGAGGUGCCAUAAUAAGCAAAAGCACUAAUGUUCCAUGGCCAGAGGGUUCCUUCCUAGAGGUGUCCAGUUUAUGGCAACGGGAGUGGUUUUAUAUCACGGCUCCCCGGGGUACCAAGUGGGUGGCCGCCCCUGCCUUUCGCUCGGGCCCCCCACCACAACUGACGUCAUGGAUCAACAAAGGGCUGGACUGGGGGCCAGUAAAUGAUGUGCCGAUAUUGCAGAGUCGCAUCUGAGAUCUCCUUGAGAGAGAUGUCAGUCUGGUCACGGUAAUGCAAGUCAUGCUAGUUCAUCGAGUCCCGCCUUACAAACAUUGACCCCUCCGUAUGUGGGAAUUCAACCCGGAAGGACCGCGAACUAUUCAGCACUUCCUCGGCAUGACGCUCGAAGAGAUGUACAAAUUGUUCUUCGGACCACAAAUAAAGUGUCCGUACACCGUCGAGGAUGCGGGUCUGAGCCGUAAUCGCCCAGAUACCCAAGUAAGUAAUCCCGUGGCCGAACAUGUUGUCUUUUUAUUUAUCACAACAUCAUUCUGAAAAGUCGCUCUUUGACUAGGACUGGGUAACAAAGGCGAAGAUGAUCAGGUGUUCGGCCCCCCUUCCCGAAGGCUCGGCCGAUCCAAUACUAGCCAGAAUGCUCGAGCUGGCGCCUUAUCAGGCGCCCUCAGGGGAAGAUAAAGGGGGGGGUAAAUAGGCUGAAAGCAGGCCUCACUCAUUAUUCAUCCAAACUGGGGGAAUUAGCGCCUCCGCGAAGGAGGAUAACCAGGGAGAAGAAUCUGAAAUUCCCACUCCCCAAGGAAGGAAGAUGACCACCUCUGAAGACCCGGAAACAAAGGUUUCCAAAGGGGGAAGAAAUCUUCGCCAGAGGGUCCUGCCUUGGAGGGUACUCUUGCCGCACAGUGCCUGCAAGGGGAUCAGCCCUCUAGCGAGCUGUAAGUAAACAAAAAGUACUUAAUAGUAAAAAUAUCCUACAUUACUUCUGAAGACAAUAACCGAAGCAUAUAUCUUGUAGUUCGGAUCGUAGCCCUUCUCGACAGAGUUCGUCUUCGGGGGAUCUUCUUCAGGAGAUGAUGGAGAGCGAAACACCUCCCCAUGCCACCCCGCCUCAUGAGGCGGGCGACCCUGAAGUGUCGUCACGGAGGGUUUCUCCUGAUCCGCCAAGGCCAGAGGGUAAUCCUUUGGCCACCCGAAGUCCUCAGUAUUCGGCUCCUAAAGAGAUCAACAGAAAGAGUCCGGAACCGUCCGGUGUGCGAUCGGACGCACUGAAGGAUCUUCUGGAGCAAGCGGCCAUCUCAGAAGCGCAUUGUACACUAAUGGGUAUGGUGAUUGAGAGGAUUUCAUCCGCCGAAAGCGGGUUGCAUGAAGCUUUUAUGAGUCUGCUGAAAGGCUUUGACGUAUGUGAAAUAGUGUAUGUUUUUUACAGUACCGCACACGUUAGGUGUGCCCUAUGCAGAUAGUAGCCCCUGAGACUCUGGUUGCCGUCGAGAACGGCGGCAAAUAGAGGAUCAUAGUCUCAGGUAAUAAUCAGGCCGCCUUCAUGUGCAGGUGGCUGAAGGUCCGGUGGCUAGCCGGACUGGUGAGUUUUCCGAGCUGAAGCGGCAACUUGAUGCGGCAGAUGCCGACAUCAUGCUUGUCAACAAGCGACUUGAUGAGGCACGGGGUAUGUGAUUUCUCCGGUGAUCGACACAUAGUAAGAGGAGCAUGAUGCUAGUAUCUUUAAUAUGUUGUGACUGCAGAUGGAGCUGCCGCCGUGGAGACCCUUCGGGCGGAAAUUGCCCAAGCCAAGGAACAACCAAGGAAUAGUGAUGCGGCCGCUCUAAAGGCGGUCAAAGAGCUGAGGGCCGAACAGGAUGCGCAUUGCCAAAGCAAGGAAAAAAUAGCCAAGAUGGCCGUUGAGUUGAAAGAUGCCGCCGACCGUUACCAGCUUCUUGAAAAAGAAAGCCGAGCGAAGGCAACGGACCUGGAGAAGGCCAUGGUAGCAGCCAAGGAAGCCCGCUCUAAAAUCAGAGCGGCGAAGGAGGAGGUGCGUCAAGCUGGAGAUAUCGCGGCUGGGAAGCCCUUUUUGUUGCGGACAAAGUUUGGAGAUCUGAAGUAUGCCCCUCUUGAUCAACUAUGGAGUUCUGCAGAUGCAUACGUGGAUUUGGCAGCCAGUGCUGUUGAUGCGGCCGAGUACUUCAAGGAUCAAAAAGAUCGUGAAGUGGAAAGGCUAUUUUGGUCACAGUUCCAUGUUCCAGUGAGUCCACUAUUGUUGAAUGAGCAAAUGGCCGAGUGGGCCGAGCUCCAUAGGUUGUUCGGGCUUGCCAUGAGGUCUGUUGUGGAUCAUCUGUGGCCGGAAGGGCCAAGGCCGAAUAGUUAUUUUAGUUUAAUGCAACAGUUCCUUGGUGUUGUGCCGCACAUCGACGCUAUGAAGAGGUCGACGUGCAUAGAGGGUGCGCGUAUGGCACUUGCCCGUGUCAAGACAUACUGGGCAGAGAUGGAGGCCACCGCUUUGCAACCCAGAGUUCGGCCGUAGGCCGAGUAUCUGCCGAGCACUACUUUGAAGAAGUCCUUGAAGGCGCUCGUUCAAUAGAGGCUCAGUGCUCAAAAAAUAUUAUGUACUAGUGACAUGUAUUCCCAUUGUAAAAAUAGUGUUUUAUUGAAUUAUAAAGGUUGUGUUUAUACUUUUGCCUGAAAGUAUUAUGAUGACUCCUGUGCGGCCGUUUAUGUAUAUAUGUAUAUAACCUGAAAGUUUGCACUCGUCGGCUUCAGCCCCCACGCAUAUAAUGCGGGGGUGUUCGCAAAAAAUGUGUAUUCACACUUGAUCCAACGUCUUGGUCCAUUAAGGAGGUGGUAGCGCAGCGGACGAGGCAAUCGGACUAUAUUGCUUUAACACUUUCACUUAGCCAUAGGAGUUUGAUGGUGGGACUACUAUAUAGCCCCUGGUACCUUCGCGCUCGUCCGAAUACGGUGCGCAUACGUACAUGACCGGGAAACGGCCCUUCGUUAAUGCGGAGGAAUCCCGAAGAUUCCGCUAAGUCAUCAAGUGGUUGACCACUCUCGCGCUUUAUCAUGACAGUCAGUUUUCGGCUUUCUCUACUGAGGUGCUCAUCCGGAUGAACCAGGGCACAAUCGCGGUAGUUCUCCCGGUGCCGUAGCCGAUAGAGUGGAACGUAAGGUAGCAAAACACGGGAGCCGGGCAAACCUGACAUUUGACCAAAGACAUGAUUCGGAGCUGAUGCAUAUAAGGCCAAACUCGCGACGCCGAACACUCCCUAAGGUAUUCGGUCUUUACAACAUAUACCGGGCUGAACAAUGCCCUUAAUAAUAAACCCCGAGUGUCCAGGUACGUGCAAUAUUCUGACGUGGCAAAAUGCCAAUAACGUCGGCAUCCUUCUCGGUUGUAUUGAGUAUCCGGAGGAUGUGAACAACAAGAGACAGUAAAAAAAGGUUUACGCAGGGUCUUAAUCUGAAAAGAAACCUUUGAGCGGGUCCCUGCUGCACGUCUGCGCCUGUGCCUCCGUUGUGCCGUGUCCUUGACGGGUGUAGCACGAUUGUCAUCUGUAAAAGAGAAGAACUUAGGUGAAAGUUGUCAUGCCAAAAAAAUUGGUUAUUCUCGAUAAACCAUUAAAAUUCAAGAUAAGUCAAGUUGAGCCGAACUAGCUCUGAUUACACGCGGGAAGCCCCUGGUACCGUCUAUGAGACUUUAACCAUCAAACCAAUCUCAGGUAUAUGUAGUGAUGCGCCGGACUCAUCUAACCGUGUCUGCGGUCUUGACGACCUGUCAUUUAUUCUGGUUGGUGAGGCCGUCUGGUGCUCGGUUGUUAAAGUUGUUGCACGUUCUUCCGCACGUAGAGAACGCUCAAUAUUUCCACUAACUAUUAUGGUGCCACAUGGACUAGGCAUCUUAAGCUUAAGAGAAGCGUAAUAUGGCACCGCAUUAAAACGAGCGAAAGUUGUUCUUCCGAGUAGUGCUUGAUAGCCGCUUCGGAAUGGAGCAAUGUCGAAGUCUAACUUCUCACUUCGGUAGUUGUCGGGUGAAAUGAAUACAACCUCUAGUAUUAGAGAGCCCGUGGAGCGGGCCUCUGGGUCUGGUAUUACUCCCUUGAAGGUAGUAUUACUGUGGCUGAUUUUUGUCUGGUCUAUCCCCAUUUUGCGAACUAUGUCCUGAUAUAUCAGAUUUAGGUCACUGCCGCCGUCCAUAAGGACUCGUGUGAGAUGGUAUCCGUUUAUUAUUGGGUCUGACACCAAGGCAGCCAAUUCUUCAUGCCGGAUGCUUGUCGGGUGAUCCCUGCGAUCAAAAGUGAUCGGGCAGGCCAACCAGGGGUUGAACUUAGGGGUGACGGGCUCUACGGCGCGUAUGUCUCAGAGUGCAUGUUUGCUUCUCCUCUUCGUCAUGUGGAUCAUGUUUACUGUUUUAACCUCUGGUGGGAAUUUUUUCUGUCCUCCAGUGCUUUGCUGGCGAGGUUCGUCCUCGUCUUCGCUUGGUGUCUCCCUCCCCUUGUGUUCGGUGUUUAGCUUACUGGUCUGCUUGAAGACCCAGCAUUCUCUGUGGGUGUGAUUUGCAGGUUUAUCGGGGGUGCCAUGAAUCUGACAUAGUUUGUAUAGAAUCUUGUUUAGGCUGGACGGUCCAUCUCUGCUGCCUUUGAAAGGCUUUUUCCGCUAACCUUGUCGAGAGCCCCUGAAUCCAGCGUUUACCGUUGUAUUAUCUGGGUUGUCUUCUUUAUUUCGACGCUUGCUUUUACUGCGUCGUGGUUUUCCAUUGCCAUCCCUGACUUCGGAUGUGCUUGGGUCGCUGGUGCUACUGCAGGCUAACCAGCUAUCUUCGCCCGCGCAAAAGCGGGUCAUGAGGCUUGUCAGGGCUGCCAUUGUUCUCGGUUUUUCUUGGCCGAGGUGUCUGGCGAGCCAUUCGUCUCGGACGCUGUGCUUGAAAGCUGCUAAGGCUUCGGCGUCCGGGCAGUCGACGAUUUGGUUCUUCUUAGUGAGAAACCUAUUCCAAAGCUUUCAGGCUGACUCUCCGGGCUAUUGAAUUAUAUGACUUAAAUCAUCUACAUCUGGAGGUCGGACAUAGGUCCCUUGAAAAUUAGCCCGAAAAGUAUCCUCGAGCUCCUCCCAACUUCCAAUUGAGUUUUUGGGGAGGCUUUUCAGCCAAUGCCGAGUUGGUCCUUUAAGCUUGAGGGGCAAGUACUUGAUGGCAUGGAGAUCGUCUCCGCGAGCCAUAUGGAUAUGGAGGAUAAAGUCCUCAAUCCAGACCCUAGGGUCUGUGGUCCCGUCGUACGCAUCUAUGUUCACUGGUUUGAAUCCUUCUGGAAAUUCGUGGUCCAGCACCUCAUCGGUGAAACAUAGGGGCUGUGCGGCACCCCUGUAUUUGGAUGUAUCAUGGCGUUCGGACGGUUGUAGUAUUCGGUUUUGAUUUUGUGCUGGAGCGCGCUUCCUAGAUCCAUAGAUGGAUCUGGUCAUACUGGAUUUUUGGCGCAAGUCCUCACGUAGAUCGUGUGUUGACUUAUGCGCGGCCUUGUUAGCCGCUCUAUCGCGGCCACAAGGUGGUUGAUCCGGUCGGUUGGCCAUUUUAUUUUUCGGUUGUGUGGGCUCUACGGCCUCAUCGUCGAAUUCAGGUAAUAGCUUGCGCUUUGGAUAGCUCUUUGUGUGGUAACUUCCACCAUAUUUUUCUUCGUUAUCGAGCACUCUGUUCCACCUGCUGUUGAGCGUAUUUUGUGCGGCCUUAAGCCUUUGCUUCUGCUUCUUCAGACUCCUCGCUGUGGCAAUAAGCCUUCUGCGGAGUUUCUCUUGUUUCAAGUGCCUUUCCGGGAGGAUGUGUGCAUCUUCGUUCGGACUGUUUUCCUCCCCAAAGGGGGGUUGAUGAGGUUUAUCCUUGGCGUCGCCGUGUUCGGACAUCGGAUCCAUACUAUGUUCACCGUUUGCAGUUUCAUCGAGCUCUGCCGCUGGGUCAAUGUGGUCGUCGUUUCCUCUGGAGUCGACUGGAGUGUUAUUUUCUCUCGCGUUGUUAUCGCUGUUUUUACCGAGGCGGGAUUUUGAGUGGCGCCUAUGCCGACGCUUUGCUUGCUUCUCAAGGGAGCUAUUCUUUGCUGCAUCCUGCUGUUCUUCAUCAUUGUUUUCUUUGGGUGUAUCCACCAUGUAUAUGUCAUGUGGUGAAGUGGUUGUCCAGCGCCCUGUAGGCACUGGUUCCUGUUCCUCUCCUGCAUCGUCGUCCAUGUCGUCGAUGUCUUCGGAGUCGAAGUCGAGCAUGUUGGUUAAAUCGUCGACAGAGGCUACUAAGUGGGUGGUGGGUGGGCAGCCAAUUUCUCCGUCGUUCGCAUCCCAUUCUAGUCGGACAUAGUUCGGCCAAGGAUCUCCUGACAAGGAGAGAGACUUUAAUGAAUUUAGCACGUCGCCAAAAGGUGAGUGCUGAAAGAUAUCCGCGGAGGUGAACUCCAUGAUCGGCGCCCAUCGGAUUCGAUAGGCACGGACGCAGGCGGCUCGGAGUCCGUGGCCGGAGACGAAUCCUGUGGUUCGGCAACACGGCUCUCGUAAGGGGUGAAGUCAGUAUCCGGCUCUAUCGCUGAUGGAGUCAUGUACCUAGGGUAGGGUCACAGACCUGAUCUAAGUACCCUGCCCAAGGACACCCUUAGAAGAGAUCACCUUCCAGUCAACCUACGAGGGACUCACUCGACUGACUUGAAGGACUCGACCACGAAGACUCACUCGACCUCCAGAAGGUCAAGAAGCACUCUGCACUGCAACGGUCUGUAAUUAAGUAGACUUUAUGAUAGUAAAGACACUUUAUGUGGGGCGUUACCAGUAACGCCCCGGACUUAAUGUACCUUAAACCCUUCAUUACGUGGGUUGGCUGGGGUCCUGGCGCACUCUAUAUAAGCCACCCUCCUCCAUAGGCAGAAGGGUUCGGCACCCUAUAAUCCAUAUACACAUAAUCCACUCGACCGCCUCCGGGCUCCGAGACGUAGGGCUUUUACUUCCUCCAAGAAGGGCCUGAACUCGUACAUCUCUUGUGCUUACAACCUCUCCAUAGCUAGGACCUUGCCUCUCCAUACCUACCCCCACUCUACUGUCAGACUUAGAUCCACGACAGUUGGCGCCCACCGUGGGGCGGGUGUUUUAGCGAUUUUGUGGACAAGUUGCGAUUCUUCCGAGUACUUUCAUCAUGGUAGCUGCUGGAGUUUUGGUCGAGGGUCGAGAGAUUCGUCUCGGUGCUCUCACCUUCGUCGCCGACGACUCCGCUUGGCUCCAGGAGGCUCCACUCGACGUUGAUGCGCUCCCCGUCCGUGGUGCGACGCAUUUUCGCGCAUGUGUCCGCGGCGUUCUGCUGCGGCAACCGUCGACCCCAUAUCGGUCGACUCCCCUAUCGACCACCCUCCCGGUCUCCCGCCAGCGCAAGCGCUCGGGUCGGUCGAGGCUUCAGCGGUGGGUGAGACACGCGGUGGCUCGCCAGACGGCCACCACCCAAGUUGCGGCAAUCGAGCCCGACGAAUCUCUCUACGGCCUGUUCGAUCUGUCGACUGGCUCCGUAGAGACUGCAUCCGAAUGCGAUAGCAGUGAUCCAGCAGCGGAAAUCUUGAUGGUCGACGGGCCUCGCAGCCCCCCUGGCUUCGCCCGUGAUGGUGGGGCAGGCGACGGAGGCGACCCCGCACGAGACCACGAAGAGUACCAGCCCGAGCCACUCGACUCUCUGCAAAGAGAGGAACUUCGCCGCAGGAACAUGGAUGCCCUGCAUACUCCCAUCGCAGGAGAAACCCCCGAGGCUCGCGCCUUGGAGGAGGCACGUUUGGCCAAUUUAGCCGAACGCGCUCGCCUGAAGAAUCUUCAGCGAGCACUCGACGAGCGCGCGCGGCAACGAGUUCCCGACGCCAGUCGACGUCAACUCUUCCCGCCGACUCAGGUAUAUCGAACCCCAAUCCAGAAUUUAGCAGCUGUGACCCGUAUUGCAGAGUCCAUCCAGCCCUCUCAGUCGGAAGCUGGCAGAGGCUUGAUGCAGAUCAGGGAUCUGCUCCGGACAGCAGGAGAUCAGAAUUCAGCCGUGUCGCAGUCGCGCAACAGAAUUCAUAGUCGAUCCGUCGCUGCGAAUACGGUUCAGUCGGCUCACAGUCCCAGAUCGCCUCCGCGGCGUGAGGGGCGCGAGAAUUGGCGAGACCAAUAUGGAGACCGACACGACCGAAAUGAUAGGCGUCGAGUGCCCACUUCCCCUCCGAGGGGUGGGUCUUACGCUCCUCGGCAGCAAGAUGACAGACGUCAGCUCAGUGUGGGGCGAAGAGUUCCAGUCGACCCCAGGGAACCAGGCUUCGACGCGCGAUCCAUUAUCGUGCAAGGCUUGGUCGACCGGAACAGAGCCCAUCGAGGUGGACUCGACAGAGAUGCGCCCACGAGCAGUCGAGUGCACGUUUCUGGUCCGGAAUGUUUCAGCAGAGCUAUCAGAGCCGCAGUGAUUCCUCCCAAUUUCAGGUUGGCAACAGGAGUCAGCAAGUUCACCGGUGAGUCUAAGCCUGAAACUUGGCUUGAGGACUACCGAGUGGCAGUUCAGAUUGGUGGUGGGAAUGACGAGGUGGCCAUGAAGCAUUUGCCCCUCAUGUUGGAAGGUUCUGCCAGAGCGUGGUUGAAUCAGUUACCUCCUAGCAGUAUUUACACUUGGAAAGAUCUGUCCCGAGUGUUUGUCAGAACGUUUGAAGGAACUUGCAAGCGACCGGCUGGAUUGACGGAGCUGCAAGUCUGCGUGCAGAAGACCAAUGAGACCCUCAGGGAGUAUAUUCAAAGAUGGAUCACUUUACACCAUACUGUGGAGAAUGUGUCUGAUCAUCAGGCAGUCUGCGCCUUCAAGGAUGGUGUCGAGAACAGAGAAUUGAGUUUGAAAUUUGGUCGAACCGGAGACAUGACCUUGAGUCGGAUGAUGGAAAUUGCUACCAAGUACGCCAACGGUGAAGAAUAAGACCGACUCCAAAGCGGCAAGCACAAGCCGAGCCAGUCGGAGAAGGGAAACACCAGUCGGAAACAGAAGCGGAAGGCUGAACCGGCAGCUCCUGGAGAGGCUCUGGCCGUGGCUCAUGGAAAGUUUAAAGGGAAACCAAAAGGAUCCUGGAACCCUAAGAAGGUAAAGGAUAAAGAAGGGAACGACGUGAUGGAUAUGCCGUGUCAUAUCCACACAAAGAAAGACGAAGAGGGGAAUAUCAUUUACCCAAAGCAUACCACUCGCCAAUGUCGACUCCUGAUCCAGCAGUUUCAAGGAAAACAGUCUAAGGACAAGGAAAAGGAGUCGGACAAGGCCGAAGACAAGGAGGACAGUGAGGAAGGAUAUCCGCAUAUCAACUCCACUCUGAUGAUCUUUGCAGAUGUGGAAAGCAAGAGUCGAUUGAAAGUCAUUAACCGCGAGGUGAACAUGGUUACCCCAGCAAAAGCAAAUUAUCUGAGAUGGUCCCAAACACCCAUCACAUUCGACCAAUCUGAUCACCCGACUCAUAUUGCCACCCCUAGGAGGCAAGCUCUGGUGGUCGAUCCAGUUGUCGAAGGCACUCGACUGACAAAAGUGCUGAUGGACGGUGGUAGCGGGCUGAAUUUGUUGUAUGCAGACACACUGAAAGGAAUGGGCAUUCCGAUGUCCCGACUGAGCACCAGUAACAUGAGCUUUCAUGGAGUUAUACCAGGGAAGAAAGCCGAGUCACUCGGCCAAAUAGCUCUGGACGUGGUGUUUGGUGAUUCGAAACAUUUUCGCAAAGAGAAGUUGACAUUUGAGGUCGUGGAUUUUCAGAGUGCAUAUCAUGCCAUUUUGGGGAGACCAGCUUAUGCACGGUUCAUGGCUCGACCAUGUUACGUGUACCUCAAAUUGAAGAUGCCCGACCCCAAAGGAGUGAUCACUGUCACCGGUGAUCGGAAAAAGGCAGAAGAGUGCUUUCAGAAGGGCUCAAAGAUUGCUGAUUCCCAGGUGACAGCGGUCGAGUUUGAAGAAUACAAGCAAAACGCAGAUCCGAGUGAUUUGCUGCGAUCCAAGAAACCCGCCACAGAAUCUGCAUUUCAGUCGUCCGGUGAGACGAAGCCUAUUCACAUUCACCCGACCGACCCCGGUGCAGCCCCGACCCACAUCUCCACAACACUCGACCCGAAAUAGAAAGAAGCGCUCAUCCAGUUCCUCCGUGAGAACUGGGACAUUUUUGCAUGGAAGCCCGCUGACAUGCCAGGUGUUCCCAGGGGACUGGCUGAGCAUCGCCUAAGAGUCGACUCAUCAGCAAAACCAGUCAAAGAGCAUCUUCGGCGGUCCGCCGUCCAGAAGAGAAAAGCCAUUGGUGAGGAAGUGGCUUGACUGUUGGCGGCAGGAUUUAUCCGAGAGAUAUACCACUCCGAGUGGCUCGCUAAUGUCGUCAUGGUUCCUAAGAAGGACAAAUCGCUCCGAAUGUGCAUUGAUUUCAAGCACAUCAACCGGGCCUGCCCGAAAGAUCAUUUUCCCCUCCCUCGCAUAGAUCAAAUUGUUGACUCGGCCGCGGGAUGUGAGAGAUUGUCUUUUCUAGACGCCUACUCCGGGUACCACCAGAUCCGUCUGUACGGACCCGACGAGGUAAAAACAGCUUUCAUCACUCCAUUCGGGUGCUUCUGCUAUAUCACCAUGCCAUUCGGCCUCAAGAAUGCCGGAGCCACAUUUAUGCGAAUGAUUCAGAAGUGUCUACUCACUCAAAUCAGUCGGAAUGUGGAAGCAUAUAUGGAUGAUAUCGUCGUCAAGUCACGAAAAGGUUCCGACCUGCUCCUUGACCUCGCCGAAACAUUUGCCAACCUCAGAAGGUAUGAUAUCAAGCUCAAUCCAUCAAAGUGCACAUUUGGAGUUCCUGGUGGCAAGUUACUCGGUUUUCUCGUUUCCGAGCGAGGGAUCGACGCUAAUCCAGAAAAGAUCAGCACUAUUCUCUGAAUGAAACGCCCUGUGCGAGUGCACGAUGUCCAGAAGCUUACUGGAUGCUUGGCCGCAUUAAGUCGAUUCAUCUCACGACUCGGUGAAAAGGCAUUGCCUCUUUACCGACUGAUGAAGAAGGCAGACAAGUUCGAGUGGACUCCAGAAGCUGAUGCAGCGUUCGCCGAGCUAAAAGCUCUGCUCUCCACCCAGCCGGUGCUUGCUGCUCCAAUCAGCAAAGAGCCUCUGUUGCUUUAUAUCGCAGCCACAGGACAAGUCGUCAGUACAGUGCUUACGGUCGAGCGGGAAGAAGAAGGAAAAGCUUUCAAAGUUCAGCGCCCAGUGUAUUAUUUGUCUGAAGUCUUGACUCCAUCCAAGCAGAGAUAUCCUCAUUAUCAGAAGCUUGUGUAUGGAAUAUACAUGACCACAAAGAAGGUUGCUCAUUAUUUCUCUGAUCAUUCCAUCACAGUCGUCAGCGACGCUCCACUAUCAGAGAUUUUGCACAACAGAGAUGCAACUGGUCGAGUGGAGAAAUGGGCGAUUGAACUUCUUCCCCUUGAUAUCAAGUUUGAGGCAAAGAAAGCCAUUAAGUCCCAGGCAAUAGCAAAUUUCCUCGCCGAGUGGAUUGAACAGCAGCAGCCGACUGAAGUUCACUCGGAGCAUUGGACCAUGUUUUUUGAUGGCUCUAAGAUGUUGAAUGGUUCUGGUGCUGGGGUUGUCCUGGUUUCCCCCAGAGGAGAUAAGCUCAGAUAUGUGCUCCAGAUUCACUUUGAUUCCUCCAACAAUGAGGUAGAGUAUGAGGCCCUCUUAUACGGAUUGCGCAUGGCCAUUUCACUCGGCGUCCGUCGCCUGAUGGUCUAUGGCGAUUCAGAUUUAGUGGUCAACCAAGUGAUGAAGGAGUGGGACGUGAGAAGCCCAGCCAUGACUGGAUACUGCAGUGCAGUGAGGAAGCUGGAAAAGAAGUUCGAGGGGUUGGAGCUCCAUCAUAUACCCCGACUGAAAAAUCAAGCAGCUGAUGAUCUAGCAAAGAUAGGUUCCAAGAGAGGAGCCAUUCCGAGUGGUGUGUUCUUGGAGCAUAUACACACUCCGUCAGUCAAAGAAGAUCCUUUCACUGAAGAAGCUCCACAGCCCAAGAGUGCCACAGAUCCGACUGAGGUUGAAGUCCCAGCAGUGGUCGACUUGGUCAUGGAGGUCUUGGAGGUCAUUCCCGACUGGACAGUUCCGUAUAUCGCGUAUAUCCUGAGAAAAGAGCUUCCGGAGGAUGAGGAAGAGGCUCGACAGAUCGUCCGUCGAUCUAAAGCCUUUACCGUAAUCAAAGGACAGUUAUAUAGAGAAAGUGCGACUGGAGUUGGUCAGAAGUGCAUAACACCAGAAGAAGGUCGAAUCAUCCUUAAUGAUAUUCACUCGGGGACCUGUGGUCAUCAUGCGUCCUCUCGGACCAUCGUGGCCAAAGCAUACCGAGCCGGAUUUUAUUGGCCGAAGGCGAAUGAGAUGGCAAAGGAAAUAGUGGAUAAGUGCGAGGGAUGUCAGUUCUACUCAAAUAUGUCGCACAAGCCUGCAUCAACUCUGAAGACCAUUCCACUCGUCUGGCCUUUCGCAGUAUGGGGGCUCGACAUGGUUGGUCCUUUGAGAACAGGUCGAAGUGGCUUCACGCACGUACUGGUGGCAGUCGACAAGUUCACCAAGUGGAUUGAGGCUAAACCAAUCAAGAACCUUGACGCCGGUACUGUUGUGAGCUUCAUCAGGGAACUGAUAUUCAGAUAUGGGGUCCCGCACAGCAUCAUUAUGGAUAAUGGGUCGAACUUUGACUCGGAGGAAUUCAGGGAUUUCUGCAACUCUCAAGGCACACGAGUCGACUACGCUUCAGUCGCCCAUCCGCGGACGAAUGGACAAGCAGAGCGAGCCAAUGGCCUGAUUCUCAAGGGAUUGAAACCCCGACUAAUGCGUGAUCUCAAGCAUGCAGCUGGAGCUUGGGUCGACGAACUUCCCUCGGUGCUUUGGGGACUGUGGACCACACCUAAUCGGUCGACCGGAAGAACUCCAUUCUUCUUGGUCUACGGAGCUGAAGCAGUCUUGCCGAGUGAUCUUCUCCACAAUGCUCCUCGAGUUGAGAUCUACAACGAAGCAUAAGCUGAACAAGCGCGGCAGGACGCAGUCGACCUUUUAGAGGAAGAAAGGGAGAUGGCUCUGAUCCGAUCGACCAUCUACCAACAAGAUUUGCGUCGUUUCCACGCCAGAAAUGUGAGGGGUCGAGCCUUCCAGGAAGGAGAUUUAGUUCUCCGAGUGGAUCAGAAGAAACCUCACAAGCUUGCUCCUUCUUGGGAAGGACCCUUCAUCGUCACCAAAGUUCUCCAUAACGGGGCGUACCGUCUUUACAACGUCGAACAUAAUAUCGACGAGCCCCGAGCUUGGAACGCGGAACUACUCCGCCCAUUUUACACUUAAGUUUAUCACUCGGAUGAGUUGCAAUAAAGUACUCCUGUAGUUCAUGGAUUUCAAAAUAAUAGUGUCAUAGUUCCUCCAUGAUUUUUGUCACUUUUUAUUUUGUCCAAUAAAAUUUUUCCCUCAGUGCGUGACUUAGCCGCGAAUCCGUUUCGCCUAAGUUUGUAAAAAUCCUUACCGAGUGGUGAGCCAGACUCCCACUCGGAGACUUAGCUGCGAAUCCGUUUCGCCUAAGAUUAAAUAAAAUCCUACCGAGUGGUAAGCCAGACUUCCACUCGGGGGCUUAGCUGCAGUCCAAGUACUCGCCUAAGUUAUCAAAAUCCUACCGAGUGGUAAGCCAGACUUCCACUCGGAGGCUUAGUUGCAGUCCAAGUACUCGCCUAAGUUAUAAAAAUCCUACCGAGUGGUGAGCCAGACUCCCACUCGGAGGCUUAGCUGCGAAUCCGUUUCGCCUAAGAUUAAAUAAAACCCUACCGUGUGGUAAGCCAGACUUCCACUCGGAGGCUUAGCUGCAGUCCAAGUACUCGCCUAAGUUAUCAAAAUCCUACCGAGUGNNNNNNNNNNNNNNNNNNNNNNNNNNNNNNNNNNNNNNNNNNNNNNNNNNNNNNNNNNNNNNNNNNNNNNNNNNNNNNNNNNNNNNNNNNNNNNNNNNNNNNNNNNNNNNNNNNNNNNNNNNNNNNNNNNNNNNNNNNNNNNNNNNNNNNNNNNNNNNNNNNNNNNNNNNNNNNNNNNNNNNNNNNNNNNNNNNNNNNNNNNNNNNNNNNNNNNNNNNNNGAGUGGUAAGCCAGACUUCCACUCUGAGGCUUAGCUGCAGUCCAAGUACUCGCCUAAGUUAUCAAAAUCCUACCGAGUGGUAAGCCAGACUUCCACUCGGAGGCUUAGCUGCAGUCCAAGUACUCGCCUAAGUUAUCAAAAUCCUACCGAGUGGUAAGCCAGACUUCCACUCGGAGGCUUAGCUGCAGUCCAAGUACUCGCCUAAGUUAUCAAAGUCCUACCGAGUGGUAAGCCAGACUUCCACUCGGAGGCUUAGCUGCAGUCCAAGUACUCGCCUAAGUUAUAAAAAUCCUACCGAGUGGUAAGCCAGACUUCCACUCGGAGGCUUAGCUGCAGUCCAAGUACUCGCCUAAGUUAUAAAAAUCCUACCGAGUGGUAAACCAGACUUCCACUCGGAGGCUUAGCUGUGAAUCCGUUUCGCCUAAGAUUAAAUAAAAUCCUACCGAGUGAAGAGCAAACCUCUCACUCGGGGGCUUAGCUGCAGCCCAGUGCUCGCCUAAGAUAUAAAAAAUCCUACCAAGUGAAGAGCAAACCUCUCACUCGGGGGCUUAGCUGCAGCCCAGUGCUCGCCUAAGAUAUAAAAAUCCUACCGAGUGAAGANNNNNNNNNNACUCGGGGGCUUAGCUGCAGUCCAAGUGCUCGCCUAAGAUAUAAAAAAUCCUACCGAGUGAAGAGCAAACCUCUCACUCGGGGGCUUAGCUGCAGCCCAGUGUUCGCCUAAGAUAUAAAAAUCCUACCGAGUGAAGAGCAAACCUCUCACUCGGGGGCUUAGUUGCAGCCCAGUGCUCGCCUAAGAUAUAAAAAUCCUACCGAGUGAAGAGUAAACCUCUCACUCGGGGACUUAGCUGCAGCCCAGUGCUCGCCUAAGAUAUAAAAACCCUACCGAGUGAAGAGCAAAUCUCUCACUCGGGGGCUUAACUGAAGCCCAGCGCUCCCCUAAGUGGAUUAAGGAAUAAGUCGACUGCAGUGAGCGUCUUGCUUUGAACCUGCAAAAGACAUUUCAAGCCAAAAGCAAUCAUAUUCAAACAUCAAAUUCAAGUUCGGAACGAUACCUAAAGGAAUCGAAAGUGCUCAGGCGCUAAGCUUGUUAAGGUUUAUCGGUUACAACUCCACUCGGCAUACCGAGGCAAAUUUAAAGCGUCGAGCUUAAAAGAAGUUUUUUACCCCUCCUGUGGAGGGCUGGAAGGUGCAACAAACUCAUCAAGAUCAAUUCCAUCUGCGAUCCGAGUGGCAGCAGCAAUGAAAGUUUCCAUAAAGGACCUGAAGUCGUGUUUCUUGGUGUUGGCCACCCGGAGGGCCGCCAGCUUGUCUUCUCGCACAUCUUUGCAGUGGACUCGGGCCAGACACAGAGCAACAUCUGCACCGCACCGAGCCGAGGACUUUUUCCACUCCUGAACUCGAUCAGGGACCGUGUUCAAGCGAGCCAUCAGCGACUCGAGGUCGUUCUGGAGUGUCUCCCUGGGCCAGAGCGUUGAGUCGAUGCGAGAUGUGGCGACCUUCAGCCUUGCAAGAUAGUCCACGACAGCUGCAACACGGGACUCCAGUCGGAAAACAUUCAUGGCAACUUCGUCGUUCACCGGAGAAUUGACAGGGUCAAGGUUUGGUUCCAGCCGGCUAGUCUCUUCUUCAAAGUCUUGACAAAAUUCUGCAAGGGCGAUCACCGAGUCAAGGCAAUGGUCGAAUGGAAAAAUCACAGUUGAAAAUGAUUGUUUAGCGUAAAGGUUUACCUUCAAGCAUAAGGAACAGCUUCUUGGCAAGACCAUUCAGGAAGGCCUCCAGAUCAUUUUUCUUCCCAAGAGCAGCUUUCAGAUUGGUAUUUUCUUGUUCAAGCUUGGUGACUGAAGCUAACUUCUCGUCAGCAAGCUUGAUCCUCUCAGCUAGUUCAAGGUCUUUUUUCUGUUGGGCCUCCUUCACCUUACCCGCAAGUUACAGCAAGAUCAGAUUUUGAAACAAAUAAAGGGAAAAAGUUGUCGUCGAGGUCUCACCAAACAUACCUUUGGUCUCCUCCUUUGCCUUCGUCAGAUUCUCCUGAGCCAGCUUCAAAUCCAGCUCGAGCUGAAUGUGCUUGUUUUCCAUCUCAGUGUAGUGAGCCGCAAGGUCACAGGAUCUCUGGGAAGAAUCAAUCGACUAAAUGUCAAAGAUAAUUCACUUCCGAGUGGAACGGGAAAAAUCAUGCGUUUCUAAGACUACAGCCGAAUACAAGCAUUCGACCGUAGCCUCGGGGACUACACCCAGUGGGUGCACUCAGCAUGCCCCCACUAACCCUGUUGAAGACAGAAUCGACCAGUCGACCUCAAAAAAAACAAGAUGUAUUCUUUAAGACUGUAAUCGACUGCAAGCAGUCGACCACAGUCUCGGGGACUACACCCAGUGGGUGCACUCAGCGUGCCCCCACCGGUUUGCGAAAUCUAGUCGCCAUAGUCGAAUGACGGAAAGACUGAACUUAUGAAGCCUAAGGUCGACUGCCAGCAGUCGACCUUAGCCUUGGGGACUACACCGAGCGGGUGCACUCAGCGUGCCCCCGCUAUCACGGAGUUUAAAUCGACACACCCAGUGGGUGAUUACUAUAAAUUCUGGAAAGAAAACAAGCGGUGGUCGACUGACCUGAACAUUGCUUUGAAGGGCGGAACUGGCGUCGUAAGCUGCCUGGCUCGCAUCCCGGAUGGUCUUCAAAUGCUCCAUCAUGAUCCCUGCCUGGCGUAUCACCUCCUUUGCGGCGCCAGCUUGGUCCUCUGGGAUGUGGUGCGUCGUGAAGAGGGAGGGCUGCAGAGCACUCGUCAGUGGAUCUGCGAAGGACACAGUGUGUCGAGUGGUGUUCUCCUCCUCCGCGACCAGAGUCUCAGGCACCGUCACAUCCUGGGACACCCUGCCGGCAGACGCUUUCCUACUCCUUCUGGGCUUCAGCGGUUCCUCAUCUUCAUCAUCAUCAGGGAGAGUGAUAACAACAUUGGAUGGAGCUACAGAAAAGAAUCAGAAUUAGAGAUCAUGAGUCAGUCGACUGGAAACGGUGUUAAGAGUAUAGUACCAGGUUUUGAGGUUGCUGCGUCCUCCAUCUCAUGGUCGUCAGCCCGGGCUGAGGUCUCAGAAGUAGCAGCACUGCAACUCCAAAGAGUCAGUCGACUAACUCCAGCGCCAACCAGAGAUAAUGUUCGCACAAAACAAGAAGACUCAAGCAGCAUGAUUACCCUGAUAUGGUGGGGAUGGACACCUUCAUCUUCGGCAGGAGCUUGGUCGGCUUUGACGGGGCCGCCCUGGGCUGCUUCGACGCCUUUUCAGUCGGCGCCGGAGAGGUGGUCCGAGGGCGCUUGAUCGACUGUGUAACAGUCGCAACCCCCUUGCCAUGUUCAGUCGCAGGGUCAUGGACAAGUUUUGACCGCCUUUCCGAGCGCGGUGGUGCGACCUCCUCCUCCUCCUCCUCUUCCUCAUCCUCAUCGUCAUCAUCAUCAUCGUCAUCAUCAUCAUCAUCAUCCUCAGCGGCGUCCGAGUCCCACUCCUCCUCCUGGCUCUCGCCCCCACUCGCUUCUCCCUCCUCGGUCGGAGCCUGUGCUCCAUUGGGCAUCAAGUACAGCUCAGUGAGGGCCUGAUAGACAUCAAGACAAAGAUCAGUCGACCGAUCGGCAAAGAAAACAGAAAUAAAUGUGACGAGAAUACAAUGGGAAGUGGAGCAGACAUACCUUGUUUGGAUCACUGUGGCAGUCGAGUGGAGGAAUCCUUCUGGCUCCGCGAGGGUUAUCCUUGUUCCCAGUAACAGCGGCCAUCCACCUUUCCAGAGUGGCAUCGUCGACUGCUUCUGGAUUGACCCGGGUCACAUCCUCAGUCCCGCAGUACAACCACAUGCAAUGGCUCCGGAACUGAAGAGGCUGGAUACGACGCCUAAGAAAAACCUCCAGGAGAUCCAUACCCGUCACUCCCUCCCGAACCAACUGAACUACACGCUCCAUCAGCAUCUUCACGUCAGCUUUCUCCUCCGGAAUCACCUUCAGAGAGGAGGGCUUGUUCACUCGGCCCAUGGUGAACUGAGGGAGUCCACUCGACUGCCCCGGCGUCGACUGAUCCUGGCAGUAGAACCAGGUCGACUGCCAGCCUCUGACUGACUCGGGAAAUGUCAUGGCUGGGAAGGUGCUCUUGUUCCUCACCUGGAUCCCCAGACCCCCACACAUUUGGACAACUCGGGUUUUUUCGUCGCCUGGGCUCGCCUUCUUCACGGUCUGAGAGCGACACGUGAAUAUGUGCUUGAACAAACCCCAAUGCGGUCGACAACCCAGGAAACUCUCACACAUGGACACAAACGCGGCAAGAUAGGCGAUAGAAUUCGGGGUGAAGUGGUGGAGUUGCGCUCCAAAGAAGUUCAAGAAACCACGAAAGAAAACGCUCGGCGGCAAAGAAAAUCCGCGGUCGACAUGGGUAGCCAGAAGCACGCACUCAUCCUCUUCCGGCUGGGGCUGCCACUCUUUCCCCGGAAGCCUUGCAGCUCCAUGAGGGAUCAGGCCCUCGUUGGCCAUGUCGAGGAGAUCCGUCUCCGUGAUGGUCGAUUGGAUCCAAUCUCCCUGGACCCAGCCUUUCGGCAGGCGAGAUCUAGACGAAGACCCGCCACGACUGGUGGAUCUCCCCUUCGCCUUCUCCGUCGCCGACGCCUUCUUCGCGCGUUCCAACGCCGCCAUCUUCUCCUUGACCAUGGCUGCCGGCGGGACGCGCGAGGAGAAGUUGUGCGGAGGCGAGAGCGAGCGCGUUGGGCAGAGACGAAGGGAACAGAGGGAGAAUGCUGAGGCACUGUUCAAAAAACCCUCGCCGGGCGCAUUUAUAAGAUCCCUUCCGAGUGGAUGACAGGUGGGCCCGGUCGAUCUAAUCAUAUCCUGAACAGUUACGCGGACGCGAUACGUGGCGAAAAAAGUGGCGCGGAGAUCGAGGCGUCUAUGCCCUGUCCCGUCCGAACACCGCGGUCCGCCCCGCUUCGCGCGCUUCCCCAAAUUUCGCAUCCCGCGGAAUCCGCGAACGGCAGAUCGGUCUGCCAAACGCGGGAUUUCCUGCGAUCCGUCGCUCGGAAAUCGGCGAAGUCCAAAAGAUCACUCGACGAAGGAAAAGAAUGGAUCGAGUCGACUGAAGAAAAGUUGCUCACUAUCAACAAAGAGAUUUUUUCAAAACAACGCACGACCAGUAUGCGAAGGCUAAUCGGAAACAACAUCCACUCCUUCAUCACUCGAGCCUCAAUCCAUUCGGGGGCUAAUGAUGGAGUCAUGUACCUAGGGUAGGGUCACAGACCUGAUCUAAGUACCCUGCCCAAGGACACCCUUAGAAGAGAUCACCUUCCAGUCGACCUACGAGGGACUCACUCGACUGACUUGAAGGACUCGACCACGAAGACUCACUCGACCUCCAGAAGGUCAAGAAGCACUCUGCACUGCAACGGUCUGUAAUUAAGUAGACUUUAUGAUAGUAAAGACACUUUAUGUGGGGCGUUACCAGUAACGCCCCGGACUUAAUGUACCUUAAACCCUUCAUUACGUGGAUUGGCUGGGGUCCUGGCGCACUCUAUAUAAGCCACCCUCCUCCACAGGCAGAAGGGUUCGGCACCCUGUAAUCCAUAUACACAUAAUCCACUCGACCGCCUCCGGGCUCCGAGACGUAGGGCUUUUACUUCCUCCGAGAAGGGCCUGAACUCGUACAUCUCUUGUGCUUACAACCUCUCCAUAGUUAGGACCUUGCCUCUCCAUACCUACCCCCCACUCUACUGUCAGACUUAGAUCCACGACAAUCGCCACUGAGAGUGCGGCCUUCAUGGCGGGGUCUAUCCACCCGUCCUCGGAUGGCGCAAUUUGCUCCGGAUUGAAGGCCGGAGUAGUUGCAGGUGUGAUCUCCCGAACACUGUCCGACGGCACAGCUAAAUCAUGCUCGUCGUGAUCGUGCGGCGCACCUGACAUGGGCUUGAAUUCGUCGAAGAUCAAGUCUCCGCGGAUGUCGGCAGUGUAGUUUAAGUUUCCGAACCUAACCUGAUGGCCAGGGGCGUAGCUCUCGAUCUGCUCCAGAUGGCCAAGCGAGUUGGCCCGCAGUGCGAAGCCGCCGAAUACGAAGAUCUGUCCGGGAAGGAAAACCCCAUCCUGGACCGCAUCGUUAACAAUGAUCGAAGGAGCCAUCAAGCCUUACGGUGACGGCACAGUGGAACUCUCAAUGAAAGCACCAAUGUCGGUGUCAAAACCAGCGGAUCUCGAGUAGGGGGUCCCGAACUGUGCGUCUAAGGCGGAUGGUAACAGGAGGCAGGGGAAACGAUGUUUACCCAGGUUCGGGCCCUCUCGAUGGAGGUAAUACCCUAUUUCUUGCUUGAUUGAUCUUGAUGAUAUGAGUAUUACAAGAGUUGAUCUACCACGAGAUCGUAGAGGCUAAACCCUAGAAGCUAGUCUAUGGUAUGAUUGUAUGUUGUCCUACGGACUAAACCCUCCGGUUUAUAUAGACACCGGAGCGGGCUAGGGUUACACAGAGUCGAUUACAAGGAAGAAGAUCUACAUAUCCGUAUUGCCAAGCUUGCCUUCCACGCUAAGGAGAGUCCCAUCCGGACACGGGAUGAAGUCUUCAAUCUUGUAUCUUCAUAGUCCAACAGUCCGGCCAAAGGAUAUAGUCCGGCUGUCCGAAGAUCCCCUAAUCUAGGACUCCCUCACCUUUAAUUUAGAGGGGACCUUAACCCGCCACAACUUUAUACAUGCCUUUUAUUAUCUAGCAUUAUCUAAUGCACUAGAACAAAAAUCAAGCCAUGCUUCUCGGUCAUCUUGGUCAUGAUCAACAUCCUAUAGGCUGGCCGAACUGUGAAUUCCCCCUUCUUCUCAUGGCCACAUGCCCAAAAAUCUGAAAUUUAUCUGGUACUGAGUGGAAUGUUUAAAUUGGGUCGGCAUCAAUCGGCAAGAAAACAUCUCAAACUACCUAUUGUUUCCCUCUAAGAGAGCUUUCAUCAAUUAACUCACUAACAGGCUAAGGUUGAUCGGAUCACAAGAAAACUAUAGGGCACAUAGCAUAGUCACACGGGAUCCAGUUGUAUUGCCAUAUUUCGUUGUUUUCCCAUCCCCUAUGUGUCCGAUCAAACCAUUCUUCACCAUCUCCAUAGUCAACUUACCGUUAGGAGCUGAAUUGUUGAAUGACACAAAAAGUGUGUUCCAACUAUGAGGCAAGGAACUCAGCAACAACUAUGAGGUAGACCCACGGCUCUGCAUGGCAUGGGUGGUGACUUUGUGCCGCAAGGGUGGCGAGUUCGCCAGUCCGGUCGUGGGGUGUUUACAUGAUUGUCCCUUAAUCAAUCUGUGGUGGGUUGGGGGGGUGCACGGUUGUCCCUUAAUCAAUCGUGUGGUUGAGUGUGUGUGGUUUGUCGUCGGUUUUCCUAAAUUAAUCAUGGAUUGCAUUGGGUUUUCGUCUGGUUAUCUCAAAUUAACCUGGUAAUUCUCUUCUUCUUACUGAAAUGCAGGAACCGUGCCCCUCUUGAGGUGUCCUAAAAAAAAGAUUGAUCGGUGCAAUGCAAGUAUAUGGAUCCCUUUUGAGGGAAUUUUAUUACUUGACAUGAUAUGUCUGUUAGAAAUGACCAGGCAGGCAUAACCCGAGAAGAAAUCCCAGCCGGCACAUCGGUUCAGCUUUUCACACGCGGAUUAAGAGAUACCAACACACACGCACUCACGCGCCCGCAUGCUCCAGCAUGGAGCAUGCACUCAUCGACCACUCUCGCUCCAUGUACACAAUAAUGAUGCCCUGCAGCAUAGGCUUCCGUUUCUGUAUUUAGCGCAGAAGGAGCAAGAAAGGCACGGCGAAGAAGAGGAGCGGCGCUGCGCGUGCGGCCACACCAACUCCGCCCACUCCCAACCACCUCAUCCUCGCCGCCGCGUUCUUCUGUGCGCCCGUGCUCGGCGCACUCGACGCGCCACCUGGAGAUCACAUCAACCACGUUAUUUAGCUCCAAAUUCCAAAGAGCAAACCGUCAACCACAUCACUACUGGCUGAAAAUCUUUAGAAGACUAUACUAGUAGUGUGUUAUGCCGAUCUUUGAUUAGUUGAUGCAACAGGUUUAUGCCGUGCAGUGACAUGUCUUCCAUGUUUUUGGAGGCAUGCUAGAUUGCUAUUGCUACUCCUAGCUAACGUCACAUGACACUCCUACUUCAGCACUGUUGGGCGGGCUGGUUCUAGCACAUAAAUUUCGCACGUCACGUCAGGCUCCAACGCCGAGCGGCACUGCUGUCCAGUAGCGGUCCAGCAGUUUCUUUUGUCUUUCGUCGAAUUAAUUGUAACUAGAUUGUUGGCGAUGUUAAUCUGCAUCAAUCACUUCACAAUUAUUAAGUCUCAGCUGAUCGACUCGACUGAACGGGUGCAUGCACAUCAUCAAUUAUGCGUCUGCACUAUAGAACUCCCUUCUUCAGCGGGAACAAUUGUCCGUUUUCUUUUCCUUUUUUAUUUAAAAUGAACCAUUGUAUAUAUAACUAAAUAAUCCUUGUAAAGCAAUCAAUUGGUAGGAGGAGAAUAACUCACUUGGGCUGCUCUGGGCUGCCUGCUGCUUGGCAAACUGCUCGAAGACCUCCGCGUCCUUGGAAUUGGGCGGCAGGUUCAGUAGCCCUGUAAACGAAACGUUGGAUCCACAACAGGAGCACGCUUUGUUAAUUACCAGCAAACAAAAUGAGCUUACAUCUUUCCCGCAGCGCUAUAAAUCCUAACCCUAGUCCUAGUAAUGAAGGUUAUCAUGUGAUAAUGUAAUUCAUUCAUGUCAUGUAUGAACGCUGAUCACAUGUCAACCACUGCAACGCUCGUACCUACGGCGUUUAACCGGUGAUCAUGGCCAAGGUACUAAACAACUUCUCUUCUUUUUGCAGGGAUACAAAUAGCGACACGUGCAUCUCAACUACACUCACAAUGUUGGUAUAUCAUAAAGACAGGACAUUCUUUCUAUGGGAAACGGCGUUCCCGUCGAUAGUGAGGCAUCUGUAAUGCGUCAAUCUCAAGACCCAUCAGCUUACUCUCUGGGAGAUGCUUAUAGGGAUAAGGGUAUAUGCAUAUAAGUUCAUCAGGAUGAAUAUAUGUAUGUGUUUAUUAACGUACGCAUUGUUUUUUUCUAAGCUACACAGUACCCGUCGUUAGUGAGGGGUGUGGCAACAGCAUUCAUGGACCGCAUAGAGAAAUGCUAAUAGGCCGCUAAUUUGGACGCUCCCGGUGGUGGGCGAGAUAUUUUCCUCCUCUUCCCGCGUAACCUCUGGUGGAGCGUCCGCGCGACCAUCCCGGGCUCUGCCGUGAGAAAUUUGGCAUCGUCCUGCUGCUAAUAUCUCUUCUAAUCCCCUGACUUCGCUAGUCUUCAUGACUAUAUCUUGUUUGUGAUCCCGUUUGGUGCUCCGCCACUGCGUGUAACCCAUGUUCUGACACGUUGCUACCAUCGUAUCGCGGCCGAGCACGUACAAAUUACGGGCCUAGAAAAGCAUAUCUCUUAAUGUGGGUGCUGCUUUAAGCGGUGGUGGCGUUUGAAACUGAAGCACGCCAUCAUGAUCCCACUAACAUCGACCAAGUGCGUCCACUCCGUAUGAACAUGAACGCAGUUGCUACUUCUCUUGCCAUAUGAUGCGAUGAUACAUAUCGUUCCAGAUUCUUUCAUAGUAAGCUUUGAGGGUGGAGGACGUACUUGGGCAGUCGGAGAUGUUGGCGGGCGCGCCGCAGGCGGCGGGGAGGCCGAGCGCCCUGGUGACGUUGAGCUUCAAGUCCAGACCGGGGUCGUCGCGGUCCUUGACGAGCACGCACAGGCACUUGGGGCUGGUCUGCAGCACCGUCUUCAGCCCCCCGCAGCAGUCCGGCGUCGGCGCCUGCCCCUGCCCCUGUACGAACGUCAGGCACGUCGCCAGCGCCACCAGCUUGUCCGAGCACUCCGCCCGGUCCGCCGCCACGUCCGCCGCCACGUCCGCCCCCGCCGCCGCCACGGCCACGGCCACCACGGCCGCGGCGAGAAAGACUCUCGAUCCCAUAUGGAAGCUUAGCUACGAGGUACUAGAAACCAGGGUUGACGGUGCUCGCGGUCGCAGGGCUUGGAGGGCAGACGAUGGUUAAAUAGGGCCCGAGCGCGUACGAACGAGCUGAGUGCGCGAUGGUGCGGUUGCGGCUGUGGCGUGGUGUAGUGGUGUGGCCGGGUCGGCAAGCGUGCGGGGCAGCAGGAGGUGGGACUAAAGAUUGCACAUACAGCUUCUUUUUUUUUUGAGACAAUCUUGCCAUACAUGAGCCUUCGAAAUUUACUUGCUGAGAAUUCGCCUGGGCCAGGCCCACUAAUAAUUCUAACAGAAACGACCAUAUCAUAUCGGCUACCACCACGAAGGAACGGUGGAAUGCGUGCUCUGCUUCGACACGCUUGCGCCUCGCUCAGGCCCCUACCCCAUGUCCAACAAGCCGGUGCCGUCCUUCCUCCGCCCCACCGAGGCCGUCCUUGUUCUGGUCCUGUCGUGUACAGCGCGUUGGCGACGGACACGAAGGCCGGUGGAAGUCCAAGGCAAGGGCGCUGCUGAAGCUGCUCAAAUCCAAGUGAAUUAGAGUUGAGGUACUCACUAGAGUUAGUGUUUGGAAGUUAAUGUUGCAGUUAAAGACUUGGAUGUUCUUGUAAGUUCUGCACCAAGAAUCUCUGCCAGUGUCAUAGUAGUAUUCAAUAAUGUUCUGCCAAUAUUGCUGUUAAAUGUGACUCUGUAAGCUGCCCCGCUCCCCGCUCCCCCGCCGACAGCCACUCCGGGCCCGGCGGCCACCCCUCCGCGCCCCGGCGCCGGCCACCCCGGCAUCGCCGUCCACCGUAUGGAGUCCACCCCCCAGCCGCCGCCGGCCGCGACCGCGUGCGACGCUGGCUCGAUGACAGCCCGUCCUCCGCGGACUCUUCCUGCCGGCCCUCCCAGCCCAGCUCCUACAGCCACGCGCUGUGCGGCGACCACCUCGUGUCCUCCGAGGUUGGCUCCCCGCCCCCUGCCCAGCUGGCGCCCGUCCCUCGCGCCGCCCCGAGAUCGGAGAUCCACCGCGUGUGCGACGCCCUGGACGCGCGCGACGCCUCCCCAGAGCCUUGGGUGUAGGUCCGCGGCAAGCGGCCUCGCAGCCCCCAUCUCCGGCGUGUUAGAGUUGUGUCGAAUAUUAUUAUACAAGGUAGCUUACAGUUGGACUUGAUUUUGAACUGUGUGUAGACAAGGUAGGAGUUGUGUCCUAAUAGGACACUUAUAUCUUAGGCCUCUCAUAUAUAUCGGGGGUAGACACACGAUGUAACCAAUGCCAACAUAAUAGCACAGGCACGCGGGGGAGCCAGCGGCGUGUGCCGGCGCCCGGGCGGCCGGGGUGCGGUAUUGUAGCGGUGUAAUGGGGAGGAGCGCCCAUAGUCAGGCCCCGAGGAUGUAGCCAUGAUGGUGAACCUCGUUAACAAAUCUCGGUGUCAUGCUCGUGUGAUUCCUUGAUCCUCGAAUGAUCUACGGUAUGCCUUAGAUUUAUUCUAACAAAUGGUAUCAGAGCAAGGUUGUAAGGUCUGGAGGUUGCGGAUCGUUGAUAUGGAGAAGAUCAUGGUUGUGGACAAGGUCGACGACAGCGACGUGAUUAGGCGGCACUGGAGAUUGCCGGCAAUUCAAUGUCGUGGAUAGAUCGGAGUGAAUAUGUGUUAGGCUCGAUCAGAAAGUCUCGGCCUGUAUAGCAACGACGGCGAGAAUCGAAAGCAAUGUGUGCCCUCAAAAAAAAAGAGAAUCGAAAGCAAUGUGAAGCAUCGGGCGUUAUUCGUGGGAGGUCUUCGUGUUGGCAGGUCGGAUCGGUACCACAUUAAUCCGUCGUUUUGGCGAGUCCGAAAGCGUGUGCACAAAAGGCGAAGGCGGCAGCAGAGAUCGAUUCAAUCGAUGGCAGUGCUGGAGCGCUAGGUCAGGCGCUGCAGUGCGCUGACGCGCGUGCGGCUCGAGCAAGGGCCGGUCCAAGUGGAAGAGAUGAGGCCAUGUGGGUUGUUUGCCUCGAUUGACUAGGGCCACUGGUGGACACGGGGCCUGGUGCAUCGCUUCGUCCAGGCGAAGCAGGAGCAGGCUGCGCGUGAGAGCCGCGGAUGCAUGCGAUCGGAGGCUGAGACAGUCUGAGGCACGAGACCAGGACGCGUGCGUACGAGAUUUGUUUGGAAAAAAGAGAUUGGCACAAGGACCGAACCAAAGAAUAAAUACCCGUGUAACCUUCCUGCGUGCGUGUAUUUAUUCUUUGGUUUUCUUUGCUGGUACACAUUUAUGUAUGGAUGGCGAUGGUCACAGUGAAGGCUUGAGGAGUCUGGAGCGUGUUGUGCAGGGAUAAUGCAAAUAUAGGGCGUCAAGCAAUGAAAGGAGAUAUGCGGGCGUCAUGACGCAAGGUGGAGCAUGGUUGCAGUCGGAUAUUUUUCGGCUGGGUCGGACUGGAUUGUCUGAUGGACUGACGUGGAUGUUGGUCAAAGCAGAAGAUGGCAGUGUUUUCAACGACGACGACAUAGGAGCGUGAUGCUGAUGGUGGCCGACUUCUGGGGCGUGGAAACACGUGGUGCAGGCCUGAGGGCUUGUGCGGCUUCGACAAGACUAUGACGCAGUGUUGAUUCAAGGUGGUGUACACACGGAGCUUGAAGUCAACGGGGCGUGAGGGUGGACUGAUCAUCUACCAUGGAGUCAUUUUGAAGGUGGAGCUGGAGUCUGGCGAAAGACUUCACUCUGUGCUGAUGGAGGGGCUACGGCGUAAAUGCAUGGAGAGUCGAAGCCUAUUUCAGCGGGAUAGCGAGAGACAUGUGGAUCGAACUGGGGCCCAAUGGUCUGAUGGAGGCGUGAUACUCGGCAUCGAUCGGUGAUGAUCGGUGGUUCUCUGCAAUGGGGGUUGAGUGAUGUAGGUUCGCGGCCUCGGGAGACUCGACCAGGAUAGCAAAGGCUCGACGCGGUGAUAGCGGCGAGGCAUGUGGUAAGCAUGGGACACAGCGACAGGCCAAGGCACUGGUGGUCAGGCAUGUGGUCAGACAAAGUGUGCAGGGGUGCUGAAGCAGUGUUGACGAGUAGCAGAUUCAAGUUGGUUACAGGGUCUAUCGGUGCCGGUUAAUGGAUAGGAGUUGACCAUGAAAAAUCUGAGAAAGUGGUGGAAAGUCUGAAAUUGUCAAAAGCUGGGAGAGUACAUGGCCGUAUAUUCUGUGGUGUUCAGUGCACAUGGCAAAGUGCAGAUGACAAAUACAGAAGGAGGCGGAGUGCUAUUGUUGUGGGACAUGCUAGAGACUAUCCGGAAGAAGGGUGAGACAAGUGUGAAUUUGACUCAGGGUGACACAUGGCGACGGUGAAAUUCCUUCAAGUGUCAGACAAGCAGUCAAGAAAGAGCGGUGACGUUAAGUUCAGGUAACUCUUAUAUGUGGCGUUCAAUAUGUGGGUUGUUCAUUUUCACGCGGACAGUGGUCGGGUGUGUGAUGGCGUUGAACGGAUACUCCAGAAGUUGGGAGCACAAAGUAGAGUAAUGAAGAACUUAAUUUUGCUCGAGUGUUGAAUGUGAAGAAGACGAGAAGGGACAACAGUUGCAGUUGCAGGUGGAGGCACAUGGAGUCUGGGAGUAGCAGCGUGCUCAUGGCGUAUCUCAAGUCCAAUGUACAUGGAGGUUCGACUCAUGGAUGAAUUCAAGGUGGUGAAGUAUAUUCGCCAAGAUGGAGUUUGUUAGAGUUGUGUCGAAUAUUAUUGUACAAGGUAGGUUGCAGUUGGACUUGGUUUUGGACUGUGUGUAGAUAAGGUAGGAGUUGUGUCCUAAUAGGACAUUUGUAUCUUAGGCCUCUCAUAUAUAUCGGGGGUAGACACAUGAUAUAAUCUAUGCCAACAUAAUAGCACAGGCACGCGGGGGAGCCGGUGGCGUGUGCCGGCGCCCGGGCGGCCGGGGUGCGGUAUUGUAGCGGUGUAAUGGGGAGGAGCGCCCAUAGUCAGGCCCCGGGAUGUAGCCAUGAUGGUGAACCUCGUUAACAAAUCUCGGUGUCAUGCUUGUGUGAUUGCUUGGUCCUCGGAUGAUUUACGGUAUGCCUCGGAUUUAUUCUAACACGGCACCCUCCGGUCAGGUCUUCGUGCCGCCUCCCCUGGCUUACCCCAUCCCUGUCGACGCCUGCCCCCGCUGCCUAUGCUCGGGCCACCCCCUCCAUGAGUGUCGGCGCGACAUCUAUUGUCGCCGCUGCCGGCAUUACGGGCACGUCGCCAAGUUCUGCACUUGGCUGCGCUGGCCGUCCGCAGAUCCUCCUACCAAGCGCCGGCGCGCGCCGGCCGCCUCCCCCCGGCCUGUCUCUCCUAUGGUCUCCAGCGGGGACAGCUCGGGCGAGGCGCGCUUGUCUCCCUCGUCCGGUGCCGGCUCUCCGCCCUUCAGCGACGCCACGGCCACCACCUCCGCCUCGCUGGCCACCCCUUCACCGCCGCCACCCUCCGGUUCCUCUCGGUCGCGCCCCUCCGACUCCCCGCGGACGCGCUCCUCCAGCUCCGCCCCGUCGCCCGCGGUCCCCAUGUCCGUCCAUCCCACCAUGCGCCAGCCGAGGGCGCUCUGUUUUCUCCCUCGCUCCACGGAGGUCCGCGUAGCCGAGGAGGCCCUAGAGCACCAUGCCCUCGUCGUCGUCCUGGCCGGCAACCGCACACGGGUCUCCCGCCCGACGUGGCCGACCUGCUCGCCUCCAAGUUCGCGCUCUCGGACACUGACUUCUUCGUCCACAGCCGCCUGCCCGGCGAGUUCCUUCUCCGUUUCUCCCGGUCGGAGACGCGCGCUCGGGUUGGUCUUGCAAACGUGCGUUCUCCACGUUUCAGCCUUCUCCUCCACCCGUGGAGCCGUGCCGCUGGCGCCGAGCCCGUCGCCCUUCGCUUCAAGGUCGACCUGGAUAUCACCGGCGUCCCUGAGCAUACUUGGUUCUGCUCCUCCAUCGAUAUCCUGCUCGCGCCGUUUUGUGAGAUUGACGAGCUCGCGCCCGAGACGCGCUCUGGGGUGGACAUGUCUGCGUUCCGCCUCUUCGCUUGGGCGCCCAACCCCGACGCCAUCCCUCGCGAGGCCGACCUCUUCCUUCCCGAGCCGGACGCGGUGCUCCCCGAUGCCGACCCCGACCGCGCCGAGCGGCUCGCGCUUCACACGUUUCGCCAUCCCGUUCGGAUAUUCGUCACCUAAUGCACGGAUUUUCGGCGCCCCUCACCGCCUUCCGCUCCUGCCGGCGACGACAGCGCCGGCGCCGACGACGCCUCACCGCCCCUCCCAGGCCCAUGGCCACAACAUCACAGUUUCCCGCGCCGUUCCGAGACUACUGCUGGUGGCACCGGCCGCGGGACCUCCUCACGCGGUGGCUCCCGCCGGGGGCGAGGCGCCCCUCCCCCGGAGCGCGUCUGGUAGGGUAUCCUCGGGGCCCACCCUCCUGCGGGCCCGACGGUCGCAACGCGCCAACAGACAGCUCGUCAUCGCGUUAACUCGCCUACGCCCGACGACGCCAGUAGGGCCCCCCAGCUUUCGGCUUUAAUUCAAACUCUCGCGCGCCUCUCUCCACCUGUUUCCCCGCCCCGCCUCCUGCUGCACUCGCCCCCACGUGGGCACCUGCUCCUGUGCGCUGCGCCUGCUAGCGCCAACCAGGACGCUUCAAACCCUUCCGGGGAUAUUCGCCUGGGAUCCCCUGCCCGCCCAACCGACAAUUGCGGCGCACCCCACCUCGGGGCUCCUGAGGUGGCCCCACCCCCGCACGUCCGGUCCCCUGCUGCUGGCGCACCAACCCCGGUUCCCACUGGGCUUCGAUCCCGAUGCCCCGUGAGGCCUCGCUCGAUGAGCAUGCCAUCAUCCUCGUGUCAUGUGGGGCCACCACCUCCUAGCCCAAUCGCGCCCGCCCCUUGGUGCCCCGCGAUGCGGCCGCACCAUGAAGUGACCCUUCGGUUGCCCUGGCCGGGUUCUCGUCCCUGGUCCAGGCGCCCACUGCUCCCCUCCUGCCCGCCCCCACCCCGCGCCGCCGGAACNNNNNNNNNNNNNNNNNNNNNNNNNNNNNNNNNNNNNNNNNNNNNNNNNNNNNNNNNNNNNNNNNNNNNNNNNNNNNNNNNNNNNNNNNNNNNNNNNNNNNNNNNNNNNNNNNNNNNNNNNNNNNNNNNNNNNNNNNNNNNNNNNNNNNNNNNNNNNNNNNNNNNNNNNNNNNNNNNNNNNNNNNNNNNNNNNNNNNNNNNNNNNNNNNNNNNNNNNNNNNNNNNNNNNNNNNNNNNNNNNNNNNNNNNNNNNNNNNNNNNNNNNNNNNNNNNNNNNNNNNNNNNNNNNNNNNNNNNNNNNNNNGGCCUUCUUAACAACGACGAACCACUUCCCGUGGAGAUUCUGGCCAAAUACUCCAGGUUGUUUGAGGAGCCGCUAGCGGCCCAGACUGUGCAGGCGCUCGCCAAUUUCUACGGAUGGAACGUGCCCUCUAGCUUCUCCCUCGGGUUCGCGACGCUGGCCGCCUCGCCUAGCCGGCUCAUCGCCGACUAGCCUAGACGCGCCGCUUGUACUAUGUCUUGCUUGGUUUUCAUGGAUAGUAGUCUACGUAUUAUUUUCUGGAACACGCACGGCCUCAACUGCCCGGCGAAGCGUAGCGUCAUCCGUUCGGUCAUUUGCACCGCUCGCCCCUCUGUGGUCUGUUUGCAAGAAACUAAGCUCUUUGAUGUUUCCCCCUACUUGGUUGCCGACUCCCUUGGGCAUGAGUUAUCCAGCUUCUACCACCUUCCCGCCGAUGGCACGCGUGGUGGCAUCAUCCUCGCAUGGCGCCCCUCCGAGAUCUCCCUUACCAACCCCUUCGUUGGGGCCCACUUCAUCGCGGCAUGUGCCACCACUCCAGGCUCCAACUCCCAUUGGUGGAUCACGGGCGUCUACGGCCCCCAAGAUGAGGCGGGCAAAGCCUCCCUCCUCGUUGACCUCUCUGACUUCCACGCCACACGGAUUGGCCCCUGGAUCAUCGGCGGCGAUUUCAACAUGAUUGCCUCUACGGCCGACAAGAACAAUGAUAUGCUUAACCAGCGCUCCAUGCGACGCUUUCGCCGCUUCAUGGCCAACACUGAGAUUCGCGAUCUGUACCUUCACGGCAGGCGCUACACCUGGUCUAGCGAGCGCGACCCCCCCCCCACGCUCGUGCGCAUCGACCGCGUCCUAUGCUCUCCGAGCUGGGAGGUGGCCCACCCCCACUGUCUCCUACGCUGCCUGUCAUCCGCUGCCUCGGAUCAUGCGUCGUUGCUCGUCGACUGUUCCUCUCCCCCCUGGCCACAAGCGUUUCCACUUCGAGAGGUUUUGGCCCAAACUCGAGGGCUUUCACCCGACGGUCGCCGCCGCCUAGCAGGAGCCGGUGCGUGACACGGACCCGUUUCACCGCAUCUUCGCCAGCCUCAAGUGCACUGCGCGUCGCCUGCAGUGCUGGAGCGCUCGGAGGAUCGGCCACGUCGCGCUCCAGCUUUCCAUCUCCCGUGAGCUCAUCGCUCGCCUUGAUGCGGCUCAAGAUUUCCGGCCCCUCUCGUCGGCGAAAUCCUGGCUUCGCCACCAGCUGAAGAGAACUUACCUGGGACUCGCCUCCUUGGAUCGAUCCAUUACUCGCCAACGGGUCCGCCUCUCUUGGCUGCGUGCCGGUGACACUGACAUCGCCUUCCUUCGCAUGCGCGCCACCCACCGCAAAUAGCGGAACCGCAUCCACGAGCUCCGUGUGGGAGACGACACUGUUUCCGACCCCGUGGCCAUGGCCGAGGCCGCUUUCUCUCACUUCUCAGGCCUGCUCGACACGGCCGACCACCGAGAGCACACCAUCGCCCUCGAUGCGAUCGAUGAUAGAUUCUUCGACCUCUCCGCGCUUGACCAGCCCUUCUCGGCCAACGAGAUCUGGUAUGCCGUCCGCCAACUCCCCUGCGGCAAAGCACUCGGGCCUGACGGCUUCAUGGUUGAAUUCCUCAUCGCCGCGUGUGAAAUCAUCCGCGACGACUUCGUCGAGGCCUUUAGCAAGCUCUAUAACCUCAACGGUCGUGGUUUUCACAAGCUGAACGAAGCCCUGCUCACCCUCCUUCCAAGCACCCGGAAGCCUCGUCCCUCUAUGAGUAUAGACCGAUCAGCCUCAUCCACCUGUUCGCCAAGUUGUUUACCAAGGUGCUCUCCCUCCGGCUCGCGCCGCAUCUUGGCGAGCUUAUCUCCACAAACCAGAGCACCUUCAUCGCCGGCCGAAGCAUCCACGACAACUUCAUGCUCAUCCAACAGACUGCCAGGCAGCUCCACACUCUUCAUCUGCCGUGUGUUCUUUCUCAAGCUGGACAUCGCGCGUGCUUUCGACUCUAUCUCCUGGCCCUUCCUCCUCGAGGUUCUGCAGCACUUGGGGUUUGGGCCCCGAUGGCGCAAUUGGAUCUCCAUCCUCAUCUCCAUGGCGAGCACCAAGGUGCUCAUCAACGGGCUCCCAGGACCGCCGAUCCGUCAUUGCAAGGGGCUUCGCCAGGGCGACCCCGUGUCCCCCAUGCUCUUCGUGAUCGUCAUUGACGUCCUCAACCGCCUCUUCCAGCGUGCCACCUCCCUGGGCCUCCUGCGACGGCUCACUGGUCGUCACAUGGCCUCCAGCCUCUCCCUCUACGCGAACGACGUCGUGCUUUUCUGCCACCCGGACACGCGCGACCUUUCCGCGGUGCGCCACAUUCUCAGGCUAUUCGGCGCCGCCUCCGGCCUUCACACCAACCUCGACAAAUGCACGGCCAUGCCCAUCCAAUGCCCCCCCCCAGCCCCGGGACUCCAUCUCCAACCACUUCCCGUGCUCGAUCGGUGAGUUCCCCGCCAAGUACCUCGGCCUCCCACUCUCCAUUCGCAAGAUCACCGCCUCCUUCCUCCAACCCUUCGUCGAGAGGCUGGAGAAGAAGCUCUCCCCAUGGUGGGCGUCUAUGUUGUCCCGUGGCAAGCGGUUGGCCCUCAUCCGACAUGUGUUCUGCGCGAUGCCCACCCACAUUCUGAUCGCCAUGUCGUUGUACUCUUCCAUCCUUCGUCAAGUGAAUCGUCUCCUCCGCGCUUUCCUCUGGCAAGGACGCAAGACCACUAAUGGAGGUCACUACCUCGUCAGCUGGGCCAAGGUCUGCCGCCCCCUGGCCUACGGCGGCCUUGGCAUCCCCGACCUGCAGCGUUUGACCCAUGCCUUGCAAGCCCGCUGGCUCUGGCUGCGCAAGACGGACCCCUCCCGCUCCUGGCAGCACCUUCACAUCCCAUGCAACCCGGCUGUUCAGGCCAUCUUUCGCGCCUCCACAUCUUGGCAGGUUGGCGAUGGCAACUCUUGCCUCUUCUGGGAGGACCACUGGAUCGACGGGCUCUCCGUCGCCGAGCUGGCCCCGCUCCUCCACUCCCUCGUCCCCCGCCGCCUCCGUAAGGCUCGCACCGUUGACGCGGGCAUGGCCUCUCGUGCCUGGGUCCAGGACGUGCGCGACCACCUUUCCCCCGAGGCGUUGGUGCAAUACGUCCUCCUCUGGACGCGGCUCCAGCAGGUUACCCUCUCCGACGAGCCGGGCGUCCUCACCUGGCGCUGGACCACGAACGGCGUGUACUCCGCCAAGUCCUGCUACAAAGCCCUCUUCGCCGACUCUACGAUCGAGCCUUCCUGGCGCCUCACCUGGAAGUCUUGGGCACCUCUCCGCAUCAAGGUCUUCCUUUGGCUCGCCUUUCAAGGGCGUUGCUAGACCGCCGACCACCUCGCUCGACGUGGCCUCACGCACGCCCCGCUCCGCCUCCUCUGCGACCAGGAGCCCGAGACCAUGACGCACUUACUUGCGGGCUGCGUCUUCUCCAAACAAACCUGGCAUGAGGUCCUCUCCUGGCUGCGAAUCACCGACAUGCCGCUCCCUAGCCCCAGGCUGUGCUUCCGCGACUGGUUCUUCCAGUCCGUGCAGGACGCCCCCACCGCCCUUCGCCGCGGCCUUGUCUCGCUCAUCAUCCUCACUGCAUGGCGCAUCUGGAAGGCACGAAACGCAUGCGUCUUCAAUGGAGCCUCUCCCUCCAUUCCGCUCAUUGUCAACGACAUCAAGGAGGACGCCCACAGCUAGGCCGCCGACGGAGCCAAGGGGCUCAGCAAUAUGCUCCCACCUACGUAGUACCUAUCUAAGGGGAGUGCGCAUCCCCCCUUCUCUAUGUAUGCGCCCUUGUAGCUCUCGCUCACGCCCUAGGUGUACGUGCUUGCGACGCUACCCCUAUAUAUGCUACCACUCUUUCCCCCUAUCAAUGCAAUGAUACGCAAAGCUUUUGCGUAUUCGCGAAAAAAAGUGACUCUGUAAGCUUGAUACUCAUUAAAAAUUACUCGGAUUUGCUUCUGACAUUUUUGUUCUACUAUCAAAUAAGCAACUGUACUUGCUAGCUUUUGUUUCUGUCAAAUAACCAUCUGUUGCUGCACGAGGUUUACGAUCUCUUCUAGAGCUCUAGUGGCUGCUCGCCUGCUUAGGAGUACUACAUAGCUAUUGUUACAGCUGGAGACCGGCUUCAUCAGGGCGACUAAUCGAUUACUCUUAUCCACAGGAACCAGUCAACACGCUUCCAAUCUGCUUCUGAACACUGACAACAAACGUAUGGUUACUAUUAUGCUAGCCACAUAUCAAACUGUAGUGACAGAUUUGUAAGCUUGUGGCUUCAGCAAACUAAAACUGUAGUGGAAUAUUCAUACAUGCGCUAACGUAAUUUCUUUGGCAAAGACGGAUCAACGACAAUAAAUAAAUAAAUAAAUUUGAAAAACAAGAGGAACCGCCCAAAAAAAUGAAGGAACCAGAGCAAUUCUUUGUGGGUCGCACCCAAUGAUUUUCAGACAAAUAAAUUGGGCCAAGUUUUUUCUCUUUAUUGGAGAUCAGAGAAGAGUUCCAGGAUGAAUUGUCAUGAUGUAAGAUCAGGAUUUCCCACAAAAGUUGAUGCUGUUCCACUUCCAUAUUUUCUACUAGAAUGAAACAAGGUUGGAAGAAAAAACAAAAUGCAGUACUAGCCAACUGACAGUACGAAUCAAAGCCAAAAUAAAAUAAAGGGUCAAGAUAGAUUUUACCACUCUGCAGAACCAAACUGCAGGGUUCUUCCAGUUCUAUACACCGUAAGAUUUAACUUGAGCUGUCACUCGAUUGCUUCAAUUCCUCCGAUACUAAAAGCCGAUAUUAAAAAAAGCAUGAGCAGACACGAUGUUUUUCUCAGAUUGGAAUUAACUUGUCAUUGCAGCGAAACGAAACGAUAGGAGUUACAACUAGAAGUUGGAUCUCACUAGACAAACUACAGAAACAGACAUAGCCAGNNN